UGGGGAAUUUUCCGCAAUGGGCGAAAGCCUGACGGAGCAAUACCGCGUGAGGGAAGACUGCCUAUGGGUUGUAAACCUCUUUUUUCAGGGAGGAAUAAAAUGACGUGUACCUGAAGAAUAAGCAUCGGCUAACUCCGUGCCAGCAGCCGCGGUAAGACAGAGGUGCCGAGCGUUAGGCGGAAUCACUGGGCUUAAAGCGUGUGUAGGCGGAUGCCUAAGUACCUUGUGAAAUCCCACGGCUUAACCGUG
rnacentral:rRNA from 1 species